rnacentral:rRNA from 1 species
UACAGAGGUCUCAAGCGUUUGUUCGGAUUCAUUGGGCGUAAAGGGCGCGUAGGCGGCGGGGUAAGUCGGGUGUGAAAUCUCAGAGCUCAACUCUGAAACUGCACUCGAUACUGCUCUGCUUGAGGACUGGAGAGGAGACUGGAAUUCACGGUGUAGCAGUGAAAUGCGUAGAUAUCGUGAGGAAGACCAGUGGCGAAGGCGGGUC